rnacentral:rRNA from 1 species
CUGCGAAGGGGGGACGGAGAAGGCUAUGUUGGCCGGGCGACGGUUGUCCCGGUUUAAGCAUGUAGGCGGAUGUUCCAGGUAAAUCCGGAACGUUACUAACGCUGAGGUGUGAUGACGAGGCACUACGGUGCUGAAGUGACAAAUGCCCUGCUUCCAGGAAAAGCCUCUAAGCAUCAGGUAACAUCAAAUCGUACCCCAAACCGACACAGGUGGUCAGGUAGAGAAUACCAAGGCGCUUGAGAGAACUCGGGUGAAGGAACUAGGCAAAAUGGUGCCGUAACUUCGGGAGAAGGCACGCUGAUGGUAGGUGAAGUGACUUGCUCAUGGAGCUGAAAUCAGUCGAAGAUACCAGCUGGCUGCAACUGUUUAUUAAAAACACAGCACUGUGCAAACACGAAAGUGGACGUAUACGGUGUGACGCCUGCCCGGUGCCGGAAGGUUAAUUGAUGGGGUUAUCCUCGCGGAGAAGCUCUUGAUCGAAGCCCCGGUAAACGGCGGCCGUAACUAUAACGGUCCUAAGGUAGCGAAAUUCCUUGUCGGGUAAGUUCCGACCUGCACGAAUGGCGUAAUGAUGGCCAGGCUGUCUCCACCCGAGACUCAGUGAAAUUGAACUCGCUGUGAAGAUGCAGUGUACCCGCGGCAAGACGGAAAGACCCCGUGAACCUUUACUAUAGCUUGACACUGAACACUGGUCCUUGAUGUGUAGGAUAGGUGGGAGGCUUUGAAGUGUGGACGCCAGUCUGCAUGGAGCCAUCCUUGAAAUACCACCCUUUAAUGGCUGGUGUUCUAACGUGGGCCCCUAAUCGGGGUUGCGGACAGUGUCUGGUGGGUAGUUUGACUGGGGCGGUCUCCUCCUAAAGAGUAACGGAGGAGCACGAAGGUCAGCUAAUCCUGGUCGGACAUCAGGAGGUUAGUGCAAUGGCAUAAGCUGGCUUGACUGCGAGCGUGACGGCGCGAGCAGGUGCGAAAGCAGGUCAUAGUGAUCCGGUGGUUCUGAAUGGAAGGGCCAUCGCUCAACGGAUAAAAGGUACUCCGGGGAUAACAGGCUGAUACCGCCCAAGAGUUCAUAUCGACGGCGGUGUUUGGCACCUCGAUGUCGGCUCAUCACAUCCUGGGGCUGAAGUAGGUCCCAAGGGUAUGGCUGUUCGCCAUUUAAAGUGGUACGCGAGCUGGGUUUAGAACGUCGUGAGACAGUUCGGUCCCUAUCUGCCGUGGGCGCUGGAGAAUUGAGGGGGGCUGCUCCUAGUACGAGAGGACCGGAGUGGACGCAUCACUGGUGUUCGGGUUGUCAUGCCAAUGGCAUUGCCCGGUAGCUAAAUGCGGAAGAGAUAAGUGCUGAAAGCAUCUAAGCACGAAACUUGCCCCGAGAUGAGUUCUCCCUGACUCCUUGAGAGUCCUGAAGGAACGUUGAAGACGACGACGUUGAUAGGCCGGGUGUGUAAGCGCAGCGAUGCGUUGAGCUAACCGGUACUAAUGAACCGUGAGGCUUAACCUU